rnacentral:rRNA from 1 species
AUUGAACGCUGGCGGCAGGCCUAACACAUGCAAGUCGAGCGAGCGGCGGACGGGUGAGUACUGUAUGGGGGCUGCCCGAUAGAGGGGGAUAACUACUGGAAACGGUAGCUAAUACCGCAUACUAUCGGGUAACACACAUGGGAUUAGCUAGUAGGUGAGGUAAUGGCUCACCUAUGCGACGAUCCCUAGCUGUGCUGAGAGGAUGAUCAGCCCAACUGUGACUGAGACACGGCCCAGCAUCCUACGGAGGCAGCAGUGGGGAAUAUGGCACAACGGGCGCAAGCCUGAUGCAGCCAUGCCGAGUGUAUGAAGAAGGCCCUAGGGUUGUAAAGUACUGUCAGUCGGGAGGCGUUACCGACAGAAGAAGCACCGGCUAACUCCGUGCCAGCAGCGGCGGGAAUUC